CCUACGGGAGGCAGCAGUGGGGAAUCUUGCGCAAUGGGCGAAAGCCUGACGCAGCCAUGCCGCGUGAAUGAUGAAGGUCUUAGGAUUGUAAAAUUCUUUCACCGAGGACGAUAAUGACGGUACUCGGAGAAGAAGCCCCGGCUAACUUCGUGCCAGCAGCCGCGGUAAUACGAAGGGGGCUAGCGUUGCUCGGAAUUACUGGGCGUAAAGGGAGCGUAGGCGGAUAGUUUAGUCAGAGGUGAAAGCCCAGGGCUCAACCUUGGAAUUGCCUUUGAUACUGGCUACCUUGAGUACGGAAGAGGUAUGUGGAACUCCGAGUGUAGAGGUGAAAUUCGUAGAUAUUCGGAAGAACACCAGUGGCGAAGGCGACAUACUGGUCCGUUACUGACGCUGAGGCUCGAAAGCGUGGGGAGCAAACAGGAUUAGAUACCCUGGUAGUCCACGCUGUAAACGAUGAGUGCUAGUUGUCGGCAUGCAUGCAUGUCGGUGACGCAGCUAACGCAUUAAGCACUCCGCCUGGGGAUACGGUCGCAAGNUUAAAACGUAAAUGAAUUGACG
rnacentral:rRNA from 1 species